GAUGAACGCUGGCGGCGUGCUUAACACAUGCAAGUCGAACGGUGAAAGAGAGCUUGCUCUCUGGAUCAGUGGCGAACGGGUGAGUAACACGUGAGCAAUCUGCCCCUGACUCUGGGAUAAGCGCUGGAAACGGCGUCUAAUACCGGAUACGAGCUGCGAAGGCAUCUUCAGCAGCUGGAAAGAACUUCGGUCAGGGAUGAGCUCGCGGCCUAUCAGCUAGUUGGUGAGGUAAUGGCUCACCAAGGCGUCGACGGGUAGCCGGCCUGAGAGGGUGACCGGCCACACUGGGACUGAGACACGGCCCAGACUCCUACGGGAGGCAGCAGUGGGGAAUAUUGCACAAUGGGCGCAAGCCUGAUGCAGCAACGCCGCGUGAGGGACGACGGCCUUCGGGUUGUAAACCUCUUUUAGCAGGGAAGAAGCGAAAGUGACGGUACCUGCAGAAAAAGCACCGGCUAACUACGUGCCAGCAGCCGCGGUAAAAC
rnacentral:rRNA from 1 species